AUUACUGUGUCUUUCUGGGUUUGUACCUUUUAACUUGCUGUGUUGAGGUGUUCUUUCAGCCUUUUUAUAACGUGUCUUUUAUAAUGACAGUCUGUGGGGAAAAUGCUCUCUGAGUCACUGGCAAUAUUCUGUUGUAGUACCACAGUUAGCCACUGGGAAAAUUAAAUCGGCAACACAAAUUAGCAUUGGCUGACUUUGUCAUGUUGUAUCCAGUGAAUACAUCAUCCAUAACCAAUCACAGAAGAGCUAUGGGUCUGAUAUUUGCGGUAAUGAGCAAGGAUUGUGUGUGACAGCUAAGACUGACCGAUUUACAAACUUAACUCCAGUUCUUUAAUUUCCUUCCUGCUCAUUUCUCUGAUCUCAUUCAGACUUUCAGACUUUGUUUACAUCAUCCAAUUGGUCUAUAAUUAUUGUAUCCAGUUGCUGAUAUCUUCUAUGGUAUUGGAAUUAAAAGGUCAAAAGGUUUAAAAAAUCAGUGAAGAUGGUGGUUAGCUGCACAGGAUCUCUCAAUUCACAGAAGGAUGCCAUUCAGUUCAAUGCCAUUCCUCACAUUCAUCUUAAAAAAAAAAAAAAACCCCAAUACAAAUCCAUUACUUUUACAAAUCCACACAACUGGCAGAGACAUGCUCAUUUCACUCACUAAUGAAAUCCACCAUUACAGAUUUUCUUAACAAGACCUAAUCAUUUAUCACCUCUAACUGGGCUAAUUUUCCCUUAUCCAUUACUGCACUCUGUGAAGAGCUUGUGGUGGCAGUGAAAAGGCUAAAUGAAAUUGGAAGGCAACACUCACUGCAGCACCAACCGGAUUUUUUUCCCCUUCAGGCUUGCUGGAACUGACCUUCAGUUUUGCUGAUACAACUGCAUUCUUUACGAGCUUAUAAAGUGAUAUUAAGAAAGCAAUAGAAUGCCAUUAUUUGAGAUAAUGUGCUGUAAUAGUAAAAAAAAGAGAUACUUACAGAUCAGCCAAACCUGCAGAAGAAAAGGUAGUAAUACAAUUUAUACAAUUUUUAGUAAUAUUGUGUUAUACAGCACAGUAUCAUGUAGAUGCUAGUAUUACAUUUAAGGCAAUGUAUCCAGCCAUUUGUCACUUGCAUGUUUUUCCCACUUGGCGCCUUUUGUAUUCACAACUAGAAAAUGUUUUCAUGAUAAUUAUACUCAUAAAUGCUGAAAUCAAAGGACAAUAUGCUUUAAAAACAAGACCCCCUGGGCAUUUAACACAUAGCCUGCAUUGACCCAUGGCAAAGAGUCAUGACCCCAUCAUGGAAAGUGUUGGCACCUAAGAUACAAAGGUUCAUCUGGCGCACACACACACACAGACACAUUUGUGUGAGCACUCAGUGGAAGCUGAAAUGAGUUACAAUUGCAGGAAACACACACACACACACACACACACACAGACACACACACAGAAACACUCACUGAGGCUGUGGAAAAGAAUAGCAGAUGCAUAAAGACUCAAGAGAGAACAAACAUGCUGAGGUAGGAAAAGACACAAAUGACACGCACAGGGCUUUUCUCAGCUGUUAAAACCGUUAUCCAGCAUUGGUAGGGGAUCAGUGCUGUGCCAUUAAACUUUAAGGAGAGCUCGCUGUCAGGCAACAGUUCUUUUAUCACCUUUGGAUACUACAUGAACACAUCUGCUUCACGUCUGACCAUCUUCUCUUUUCCUCCACAGCCCCUCUUUUUCAUCCUUCACUUCCACUCCGCUCUUCUAACUCUCUUUUCACCUUAAGUUCACCUCUCCCUUCCUCACCUCCUUUACUGUAGAUGCCUGGUUCUGACAACAUGAGAGCUGACCUGUGAAUUCCUUUUCAUAUGUUUCAGCAUUUCUGAAAAGGUUUCAUAGUCUAGUUAUUCAUUCUUCUUCAUUCCUCCUCUUGUAUCACACUCAAGCUUUUUCUUUUGUUAUCUAUAGCCUCUAGCACAAGUACCUUUUCGUGCUUUGUCUUUGAUAACAUUUUUUUUUCUCUACUUCUCACCUUUCCUAUCAUGUGUUUCAUGUAUUCUCUCGUCAUCAAAUUUGUUUUUUAAUAUCUUCAGAAACCGCUAAACAAUUCCUAAGCAAGGGAAUGCAGAUGAGAAAAAGGAUCAUGUGCAUAGAUGCGGGAUGUGAACAUCACAACUAGAAUCAAGCAUAACGGAUUAUCGCUCAGACGGGCUUACACAGUGCAAUUGCAAAUUGGAAAAUGAACAUUUUUAUUAAAUAUACAAUGUGUGAGGAAGAUCAGUCUGGUACGCUACUGACUAAUAACCAUUUUGCCACUAUUCAGCUCACUGUGGUGGCCUGAAUCUAAUUUCCCAUAUAAUUUAAUUACAUUCAAUAGCAUUCAUUAUGAUGCAGCCUUAACCUACUUUUCUUUCCAUUGCUUAACUCUCUGUACUCACUUUUUUUUCUGUCUCUUUAUUUCAGUUUCCUUUCCUGUUGGCUGAAAGGUGUUCAGGAGUCAUCAAGGACAGACUCUGACCUCCUGGUUGGAGCAUGAACAUUCAUGUACGUACAUACAGUGCACAUAAACACACACACACCUUUAAUCAGGAAAGGGAUGGGUUCCUUUAAUAGAUCAUCAUGCUGCCUGACCGAACAUGUAUGUGUAUGUGUGUGUGGGCAUAUUAUUGGGGAUGAUAACAGGUGAUCAGGAAACAGGGAACUCCAGGAAAUUCCUCAGGGCAUGGGAGAGAGCAGCAGCAGGAAUGUGCACAUAUAUCAAAUACAUUCAAAUGAACACACACACACAAACACACACACACUCUCAAAUCAAGGUAUUUAUGUAGAGUCCCAGCUGGUUGGUUUUCAGCAGGAACUCUAUAAAGUUACAUUUUUAAUGUUCUUUUUCCAGAAUGUUUCACAUCGUAGGGACGUCAAAAAAAAAAAAAAAAAAAAAAAAUUAUAAAAAUAGAACAACAAUUGUAACUUUCAAGCAAGAUGCAACUGUAUUUGUCAAUUUUAGACUUAUGGAAGUUAUAACUUUACUUAGUGUGAUUAAGUAAAGUGCAAGCAGUGUGUUCAGUUUAAACAUAUUUUUUCAUAUAUUUUCUUAAAGACCUUCUUUCAAAGAGCAAAAAACCUCUCUUAACUUAAAAGGGGAAAAACGUAGAAUUGUAACUAAUGAGUAAAAAUCGCCUACCAAAAUGUCCUCAUGUGCAUGAACUAAUGUAAACUUGAAUGGAUAUUAAUAGCUAAAAACAAGAAUUUCCAAAACUAAGGUGGUUAAAGAUCCUAGUCAGUCGCAUUUUCAAUGCAAGCUAUAUUUAGAGGCAGAUUUAGUUCUUUGAUUUUCUAAUAAGUUUGGAAAUCAGUCUGCUUGAGUUGUAACACACAGAGUUGCUUCCUGUUUUCACAGUAGUUGGAAGCUAGUCUGUUAGCUGUUUUUGGCCAAAGACAAACAGCUAUCAGUGUGUGCUCAAAAUUAACUUUGUAUUUAAAUGCUGCUUGCUUGUUAUCUUGGCAAGAGAAAGAACACAAUCCUUGGAUUCUGAAAAAAGCCAAAAGGUGCCCCUCUCCUACUCCGUUGCUCAUAUAAGAUUUUGUUGAUACUGCAAUCAAUUUUUUAGCUUCACAAUUUAUAUUGUUGUUUUUGUAUCACAAUAGUGCAUUACACCCCUACCUAUAACAGAAUUUAAAAGACGAGAGAAGAAGAGAAGAGAAGAGAGAUGAUCCCUCACUGGCUUGCCAUAUGCAAAUACUUAGAGAGUUGGAUUCCUGACAAAGCUAGAGGCACUGCUGCCAGGAAUUAAAACUCAAGACUCUGUGCUUGAGUAUUUUUGUUCAUUUCCUUAAGUCAAGUCAUUUUUUUAUAUAGACUAAAAUCCCAAAUCUCAAAUUUACCUCAAAGAGCUUUACAAUUUGAACAGCAUAUGUCACCCUUUACGUUAAGGCAAUUUCAUCCAUUUCAUCCCUGUUUUUUUGUUUUUUUUUGUAUAAAGGGAGGAUGUGAUACCAGUUUCAUGUUAUUCUACUGAUUGACAGUUGGCAGCGGUUAAUGUACAAAGAAAUGUAGUAACGCACCAACAAAGGCAAGGAUACAGUGGAAAUAUAAAAAUGAUGGCUCCACAAGCGUUUUAUUAAGGAAUGUAUUCAUCACGUUUGUCAGGCCUGAGGGAAACACAUAAAGCAGUUUAAUGAAUAACUCUAAAUUUAACCCUCUCGACCCUGGUAGAUUUCUAGAAUGAUGCUGCAGUUCACUGAGGUGCCUCAUUUAAAUUAGCAUUUUCCUACUCAAUCCAAACAAACAGCUCUAUCUCAAAAACAGAAAGAAAUUGACAAUCAAAAGUUGUUGUCAUUUAAAAAAAAACACAACUUCCUCUUUAAUUUGGUAUCAAUAUGUGGCAUGUGUAGCAGAAAAAUCAAGUAAUUAUCACUAUAAACCUACACUCUCUUAUAACCCCACCUACCCUCAAGAUAACAUUUAUGUGAUGAGGCACUGACCAGUUUCUACAGUAUGAAACAUAACAAUCUUCCUCACACAUACACAGCAUUUUUUUUUCUUUGGAAAAACUUUACACUCUAUACAAACUGUACACAGUUACAAGAAGUAAAAUCUCAAAGUCAGCAAGUAACUGCCCUUAGUAACAUCCUAUUAUUACAUAGGUGUACAUAAUAUGAAAUUAAUAGCCUAAAUGUAAUGGUGCCAAACAACCAAAACAUACAAUGAGAGAUCCAAUAGAUUCUAAAAGAAGUUAUAAAAUGGAUAGCUCUGGUCCUUAAUUUUAAUUGGCUGAGCUGCGUUUGAAGCCUUCAUAAGAUACUUUAUAAACACACAUCUGUGAACACAUUACAACACUAUUAUUGCACCAAACAAAAUGUCAGAUUUUGUUGAUUUACUGAGUGGGCUUCGCCUGGAUGAGUGGUGGAAAGAGAUGGACAGGAUGGAGGAGGAUGAUAAAAAAGAAAGGAGAAAUGCUGAAAUUAAUGAGAGAGACAUUGAAAAGCUGGAAAAGUCAAGAUAUGAAGGUAGGACCAUUAAAUAGACGAUGUGGUCUGUUCGCUAUUUUCAGACCUGGUGUACCAAGAGAGAUCUGGCUAUUGAUUUUAAAUCAAUCACCAAAAUGGAGCUAAACCAGGCUUUCCAUCAGUUUUAUGCCACUGUGAAAAAUAGGAAAGGUGAACUCGAUGGUUUCAGCAGUUAUCUUGGCCUACGUGCAGGGCUUUACCAGUACAUCAAUGAUCCACUGAUCAGCCGAUCCUGGUUGUUGAAAGAUCCUGAGUUUAUCACUAGCAACUUCAUUUUCGUUGGAGUAGUGAAAAAACUUUGCCGAGAAGCAUGCGACAAAACAUCCCACCACCCUGCAUUAAUGGAAGCAGACUUUCAGAAAAUCAAGCACUCUCAGGCACUGAAUCCAAACACACCUGAGGGUCUUGUCAACAAAGUCUGGUUUGAUUUGCAGCACUAUAUGGGACACUGAGCUAAAGAGGGCAACUGCCAACUGAAGCCUGAAUCAUUUAUCAUCCUCCAGGACGAGAACGGUCAGAAAUAUGCAAUGCUGUCAUUCAACGAAUGCACAAAAAACCACAAAGAUGCCGGUGAAAGAAACAAAGAGAGCCUACAGGGAUUUAUGUUUGCGAAGCCAGUCGCUUCGUUGGAGAAAUACCUCUCGUUGCUUUCCAGCGGCCUUUUAUCUCCAUCCAAAGCAGACAAACUACACCGUUGAUCUAUGGUUAGGUAUACUAGAGAGCCCAUGGGGGUGAACUUCCUUGGCUCCAUGUUGCCACGCAUUUGAAAAGCAUCCGGCACUGAGACAGUCUACACCAACAACUGCUUGCAAAGCACCACUGUACAGAAACUCUCUGAUGCUGGCAUAGAGGCAAGAGAAAGAGAGUCAAACAUCCUUGUACCAGCAAAGUGUUCAUAAUUGAACACUUCAACAAUUGCACAAUUAAUGUCGAUAUCCAGAUAAAUGUUAAUAAUCAGCCCAUCUUUAAGCAUGUUUUCCACUGUGUCUGUGUGUUGCUUGGUAACUAUUCUGCUAAAUGUCACUGAAGAUAUUGCUUGGUGGAAGAAUGAUUAUUUUUUAUCAAUUAAUUAUUGCAUUUUU